CUCACCUCCCCAAGGUAUCUUCAGCAGCUCGUCAACGCCCAAGCGUCCCAAUCCAGUCUGCUUUUCUCUGCUUGUUUGUUUAAACUGAUCGAUGCAUAGUAUCUUCUGUAGCACUAACACUUACAGAGAUAUAGUGAGUAGAAAAAAAUUCCUCAAGGUAGCACUUGCAGUUACAAAAUUACAGUGGUCAAAAUUAAGGGCGGGUCGGCUCAUAAAACAGUCCAUUGUCUCUUCGGUAGCCCUAGCAAAAGAUGAAAUUGACGUCAUGUUUGCAUUAUGUAGCUCAUCUCGUAGAACAGUACGUACAUAGUUACUACUCCCUCCGUUCCUAAAUAUAAGUCUUUUUAGAGAUUCUACUAAAAGAUUACAUAUAGAUGUAUAUAGACAUACUCUAAAGUGUAGAUUCAUUCAUUUUGCUUCGUAUGUAGUCACCUAAUGAAAUCUCUUAAAAGACUUAUAUUUAGGAACGGAGGGAGUACAUUGUGCCUCACAUUGCAAUUCUUUUAUACUAUAUUGAAAUAUUCAGUUACAGUAUAUAGCUGAUGAAACUUGCACAAUAUUGUCAUUAUAAAUUCAGUUUAGUUGUAAUUUCUUUUGUACUAGGCUGCUGGCAGUGGUAAAUUCACCUUACUUGCACUUUCUUUUUUACUGUAUAUUGACAAAUUCAGUUUGCUGGCAAUUUCAAAAUUAAACAAAUAAACUCUUCAUGUAGUUCAGUCAAAUAGCUUAUGUUUCUUCCUUUUUUCUGCAAUAGUAGGCUACUCACAAUGUUUUCAGCAGGAUCAUAGGCCUCCUCACAGCCUCAAGUGGAAAAUCAAGAAAUGAUCCAACAUGGGAGCAAUCUUUGAUUAUUCCGAUGUAGCUUCAUUAUAUUUUUGUGUUAUGUAAUCCGUUGGUCUGAUACUGAUACUGAUAGUUUCUUGUUUGUAUGGUUGGCUGGUUGCAUUAUUCUAUUAUCACACUAAUCGUUUUUAUUUGCAUGGUUACAUGGUUGAAUAUUGCCCGGAUGGACUAGUUAUAGUCUAUAUGUGUUGUGGCAUUUUGAUAGUUUUUGUUUGCAUGGUUGAAUAUUGUCCAGAUGGACCAGCUAUAGUCUAUAUAUAGUAAUAUAAAUGAUGAUUGUUCUAUUCAAGUGUCAUAUUGUCAUGAAUGGCCUACAAAUAUACACCAUAAUCUAAAAUAUGCAAGUGUUUUUACAAAACCGCUAUGUAGACAUAGCGUCAGCAAUAUCACUCGCUAUCCAAAUUCCGCUACGCCGACCUCAAUCCGCUAUCAUCCCGCUAUCCGCUAUUUAAAACCUUGAGUAGGACAUCCCAUGUAUCAAUCUGCUACUUGUUAGAUUUAGUCGCUUAAUGGCGAACACUAAAUUCCAUGCUCACAUGUGUAGACAGAUCAUUAGUUGCAAACAUCAUCAAUCUCGCUCACACUUGUGUGUUUGAUCUGAUCUGUACUGUACUGUUUAGAUUCAUUCGAAUUCUGCCAGGUCCUGUGACUUCUGUUCAUGCAUGUAACGUAUCCUUGCCGAUGGUUCCAAAAUACACAUUGCCUCCUCGUAUAGAAAUAUAUCUCCAAUUAACUGUACUUGUUGUCGUGUAUUGAUCAGUAGAGCUAACAAUUUUAUAAAUGCCUUUGGGAUUCUUUUCUUGCUCUGUUGCUACAGAAUUACUAUGUUUACCUUUGCACCUUUAACACUAUUUGACACCCCUUGUGCAG
rnacentral:lncRNA from 1 species